rnacentral:rRNA from 1 species
AGCGAACGCUGGCGGCAGGCUUAACACAUGCAAGUCGAACGCCCCGCAAGGGGAGUGGCAGACGGGUGAGUAACACGUGGGAACGUACCCUUUGGUUCGGAAUAACUUGGGGAAACUCAAGCUAAUACCGGAUAAGCCCUUAUGGGGAAAGGUUUACUGCCGAAGGAUCGGCCCGCGUCUGAUUAGCUAGUUGGUGAGGUAAUGGCUCACCAAGGCGACGAUCAGUAGCUGGUCUGAGAGGAUGAUCAGCCACACUGGGACUGAGACACGGCCCAGACUCCUACGGUGGGCAGCAGUGGGAAAUAUUGGACAAUGGGGGCAACCCUGAUCCAGCCAUGCCGCGUGAGUGAUGAAGGCCUUAGGGUUGUAAAGCUCUUUUACCCGGGACGAUAAUGACUGUACCGGGAGAAUAAGCCCCGGCUAACUUCGUGCCAGCCGCCGCAGUAA